UACGAAGGGGGCGAGCGUUGUUCGGAUUUACCGGGCGUAAAGGGCGCGUAGGCGGCCGAUCAAGUCAGGCGUGAAAGCCCCGGGCUCAACCUGGGAAUGGCGCUUGGGACUGGUUGGCUUGAGUUCGGGAGAGGAGAGUGGAAUUCCCGAGUGUAGAGGUGAAAUUCGUAGAUAUUGGGAAGAACACCGGUGGCGAAGGCGGCUCUCUGGACCGAGACUGACGCUGAGGCGCGAAAGCGUGGGAGC
rnacentral:rRNA from 1 species